rnacentral:lncRNA from 1 species
UGCUAGUGUAAGACAUGUCUAGGACAUGCAUCAGCACGCGUAUAUGAGAGCCAGUGUAAGACCAUGUCUGGGACAUGGCAUCGGUAAUAUAUCCCAUGUUGAAGGCUCAUAGAAUAUCCAGUAGUAUUCCAAACGUUUCAAUGAUGAGAGUUAUAGAUCAAUUUUGAUAAAGAAAGAAUAAUCAUGUUGUGAGUGGUACACGUACCUAUAUGGUAACAUAAGUAACGAGCUUAAUUUAGAGAAUGUGACUCAAGUAGAUGAUAAUGAGUAAGUUAAAUUAUGUUUACCUUUGAGCUAUAAGUAUAAUGACUAAUGGUGAGAUUGUUUAUUGUAUAUUUAUUUAUAUGCAACUUACUAAGCUUUAUGCUUACCCUCUUUCCUUUCCAUCUUCUUUCAGUGUUAUCAAGCUAGUUAAGGAUCCCUUAAAGUCAGAGAUUUCAAUCGCACUAUCAGCCACAAUACUUGGUAUAGUUUGAUUUAUAUUUUUGAAAGUGGCAUGUAUAGGGCUAGACUAGGAUGUUGUAUUCAGAGCAUCGUUCAUGUAUUUUAGCUUAAGUUAAAAGCCCUUCAUUUUGUAAUCAAGCCUGGAAUAAUGGCUAUUAUUCAUUUUGAUAAAUGCAUAUAAUGUUCUUCUAUAGAUGAAUUAGUUUCCAUUGCGAUGAGAUUUAUAUAUUGAAAUGAUCUUGUGUAAGUUGUGCAAAAUGGGUGACAAAAGGGCUUGGGAAAUAGCCUAGUUUGUCCACACGGGUAAGACACACGGGCGUGUGUCUAGGCCGUGUAUGACACACGGUUAACACCCAUGGGCGUGUGUUAUGGCCGUGUGUCCCCUACACUUAAAUUUUUAAAGUUAUUUUAGCAGACGGGUAGGCCACACGGGCGUGUGUCCAUGCCGUGUCAUAAAUUCAGUAUGCAUGCUAGUAGUACAUGGGCAAGAGACACGGCCAUGUGUCUCGAUCGUGUGAAUGACAUGGUUAUAGGGCACGGGUGUGUGCUUGGGCCGUGUGGUUUUGGCAGAAUGCCCAGGUUUUCAGACACGGGUUCGGGACACGGGCGUGUCCUAGUACACGGUCGUAUGCUCUAUACCCACACGGGCGUGUGGAGCUUUGUUGCAUGAAAUUUUUCUAAGUUUUUCAUGAGUUCUCGAUUAGGUUCCAAACCACCUUGGAUGAAUGUUUUGGGCUUGUAAGCCCAUGUUAGGGGCAGAUUGUUUGUGAAAAGAAAAUUUUAAAUUAUUUGAGAUUUCACGGCCUAGUUUCGUUUAGUUAGUUGAGUUUAAGUCAAUAGCACCACGAACCCCAUCCUAGUGUCAAAUACGGGCGAAAGGUGUUACAUUUGGGGGUAUCAGAGCAUGGUUUAGUCGAUUCUAGGACUAAUCUAGUGAGAGUACGAGUUUAGCCAUACAUGUCACAUAUAUGCAUUUUGAUAGUGUGACAAUUCUUGAUGAUUAAAAAUUAUGUUUAUUAUAGUAAUAGAUCCUGAUAGAACCACGGCGGAUGACGUGGAAAGUAAUACGCCGGCUCCCACAGAAGGGACCACGCCAGUAGAGAGUGAGCCCGUGCAUAUGGGCCAGGGUGGACGGGCUAGGGAAGCCUACCUCCGAAUGAUGGAUGCUUGGUAUAUGGAGUUUGUUCGUGCGAACCCGAACACUUCACCUCCCCCACCUCCUCUGAUUCCUCAAUAUGUCCCGAUGGCUCUGCAAGGUGUGGAUGUGUUCAAAUGAGAGAAGCCUCCGGUAGACAAGAUCCGGAAGCAAGGGGCUGAGGAAUUUCGGGCUAGUGUAGAUGAGGACCCAGAGAGAGCGGAGUUUUGGCUAGAGAAUACCAUGAGAGUAUUCGAUGAACUGUCAUGCACGCCUGAAGAGUGCAUGAAGUGUGCCGUGUCACUUCUUCGAGACUCGGCUUAUCAGUGGUGGAACACUCUUGUGUCUGUAGUACCGAGAGAAAGAGUAACUUGGGAAUUCUUCCAAGGAGAGUUCCGAAAGAAGUACAUUAGCCAGAGGUUUAUGGACCAAAAAAGGAAGGAAUUUCUAGAGUUGAAGUAAGGUAAUAAGACUAUGACAGAGUAUGAGCAGGAGUUUGUGAAACUCAGUAAGUAUGCGCGAGAGUGCGUAUCCACUGAAGCUACCAUGUGUAGGAGGUUUGAGGAUGGCCUCAAUGAAGACAUUCGAGUAUUUUUGGGCAUCCUGGAGUUAAAAGAAUUUGUAAUGCUCGUUGAGAGAGCAUGCAAAGCAGAAGAACUGAUAAAAGAGAGGAAGAAAGCGGCCAGUGAGUCGCGAGACUUAAAGAAAAGACAGAUGGGGAAAGCAUACCAGUCCUCAUCCAAGAGAUCAAAAUAAUUUACUACCCGAUCAAAUGCUUCGGUGGGGUAUUCAAAGAGAAAUAAGAAUUAGCAGAACAUGGCGUCUAAAGCCCAAACUACUUCAGUUGCAAGUGUGGGUAGAGCUCGGUCAAAUAGGCCAGAGUGUUCGCAAUAUGGAAGACGUCACUUGGGCGAAUACUGAGUAAACGAGAGGGGCUGUUUCAAGUGUGGGUCACUUGACCACUUUAUCCGUGAGUGUCCUAAGAUGGACGAGAGAGAGAGAAAGCAAGAUGCGAAAGCAAGUAGUGCUCCCUUUAGGGGUAGACCUCAAAGGAACCCCAGGAGUGGGACUGGUAGUAGAAGUGCUUCGAGAGAUACUACGAUGAGGUCUGAAAGCAAAGCACCAGUGAGGACCUAUGCUAUACGAGCCCGGGAAGAGGCAGAGUCUCCAAACGUGAUCACUGGUACCUUUUCUAUUCACGACAUAACUAUUGUCGCUUUAAUUGACCUGGGAUCUACCCACUCUUACAUAUGUAUAGAUUUGAUACCUCGUAUGGACAUGCUUAUAGAGUCCACUGAGUUUGUUAUGAAAGUUUCUAACCUGUUAGGUAAGCAUGUAUUAGUGGACCAAGUACGUAAAAAUUAUCCUUUGGCGAUUAGAGGCUAUUGUUUUCCGGCCAACUUGAUGUUAUUGCCGUUUAACGAAUUCGAUGUAAUUCUUGGAAUAGAUUGGCUGACCUCCCAUGGCGUUGUAGUAGACUGUGGGAGAAAAGUAAUUCAGUUAAGAUGUGAGAAUGGUAAUGUUCUUCGAGUUAGGCCAGAUAAGUCAGAUAACCUUCCUGUGGUAAUAUCAUCUUUGACCGCUGAAAAAUAUUUAAGAAACGGUUAUGAAGCUUAUUUAGCUUUUGUGCUGAAUACUCAAGUACCCGAGUUGAAGAUUAAGUUAGUACCAGUGGUUUGUGAGUUUAUAGAUGUCUUUCCAGAAGAGUUACCAGGGUUACCCCCAGAGAGAGAAGUUGAGUUCGAUAUCGAGUUGGCUCCUGGUACGACGCCAAUCUUGAUUGCACCUUAUAGGAUAGCCCCUACCGAGUUAAAGGAAUUGAAGGUACAAUUGCAAGAAUUAACAGACAAAGGUUUUGCUAGACCAAGUUACUCACCAUGGGGUGCUCCAGUACUUUUUGUGAAAAAGAAGGACGGAUCAAUGAGAUUAUGUAUCGACUACAGACAGCUUAACAAGGUGAUAGUGAAGAACAAGUACCCUCUACCGAGGAUUAAUGAUCUCUUCAAUCAACUAAGGGGAGCCACUGUAUUUUCUAAGAUAGACUUGAGAUCGAGUUACUACCAGUUAAGGGUCAAGGAGCAAGACACGCCGAAGACUGCUUUUCGGAUGAGAUAUGGGCAUUACGAGCUUCUUGUUAUGCCUUUUGGAUUAACGAAUGCCCCAGCAGUGUUUAUGGACUUGAUGAACCGCAUUUUUAGACCGUACUUAGAUAAGUUCGUUGUUGUCUUUAUCGACGACAUAUUGAUAUAUUCACGUGAUGAGAGUGAGCACACGGUACAUUUAAGAACUGUGUUGUAGACUCUGAGAGAUAAGCAGCUUUAUGCUAAGUUUAGUAAAAGCGAAUUUUGGCUUAAUGAAGUUGGAUUUCUAGGACACAUUGUGUUGGGCGAUGGGAUCAGAGUUUACCCAAAUAAGAUCUCAGCGAUUGUAGAAUGGAAACCUCUGAGGAAUGUAACAGAGGUUCGUAGCUUUCUGGGGCUAGCAGGGUAUUACAGACGAUUUGUAAAUGGAUUUUCUAUGCUAGCUACUCCGAUAACGAGACUAUUGCAGAAAGACGUCAAGUUUGAAUGGACAGAAGAGUGUCAGCGGAGUUUUGAGAAAUUAAAGGCUUUGUUAACCGAAGCCCCAAUUUUAGUGCAACCGGAGUCGGGUAAAGAAUUUGUAAUUUUCAGUGAUGUCGCCUUAAUUGGUUUGGGGUGUGUACUCAUGCAAGAAGGCAAGGUUAUAGCCUAUGCCUCGAGUCAGCUAAAACUACACGAGAAAACUUAUCCAACCCAUGAUUUAGAGCUAGCAGCUGUAGUUUUCGCCUUGAAUAUUUGGCGACACCAUUUGUAUGGGGAGAAAUGUAGAUUAUUUACCGACCACAAGAGUUUAAAAUACUUGAUGAUGCAAAAGGAGUUGAAUUUGAGGCAACGUUAAUGGUUAGAACUAUUAAAGGAUUAUGAGUUGAUCAUCGAUUACCAUCCAGGAAAGGCGAAUGCAGUCACCGAUGCUUUGAGUAGAAAAUCGUUGUUUGCUUUGAGAGCUUUGAAUAUGCAGUUGAUCGUAUUUAAGGAUGGUUCAAUCUUAGCAGAACUGGGAGUUAGAUCGACUUUUCUUCAUGAAAUCCAAGAAUCUCAGAGAAAUGAUGAGAAGAUACAAGCCAGGAAAAAUCAGUGUGAGUCUGGUGUUGAAUCAGAUUUUUAGGUUGGUACCGACGGAUGUUUAAUGUUCAAAGAUAGAGUUUGUGUGCCUAAAGAUAGUGAACUCAUUCGGAAGAUUUUACAAGAAGCAUAUAGUGGUAGAUUUUCGUCCAUCCGGGUGCGAAAAAAUGUAUAAUAACCUGAAGAAAAUGUAUUAGUGGUCGGGAAUGAAAAGGGAUAUUUUAGAGUUUGUUUCCAAUUGUUUAGUGUGUCAGCAAGUAAAGGCUGAACACCAAGUACCUUCGAGGCUACUUCAACCUAUUAUAGUUCCAGAGUGGAAAUAGCAUCAUAUCACUAUGGAUUUCGUAACCAGUUUGCCAUUAACCCCGAAAAAGAAAAAUGUUGUAUAGGUUAUUGUCGACAGAUUAACUAAGUCAGCCCACUUCAUACCAGUGCGUACUGACUACUCUCUUGAGAAAUUAGCUGACUUGUAUGUUUUCGAGAUUGUAAGGCUACAUGGUGUACCAUUGUCGAUUGUUUCAGAUCGCGACCCAAGAUUCACCUCAAGGUUUUGGAAAAAGCUACAAGAAGCUCUAGGAACCAAGUUAAGUUUCAGUACGACUUUUCAUCCACAGACUGACGGACAAUCAGAAAGAGUAAUACAAAUCUUAGAGGACAUGCUAAGAUGCUACGUCCUUGAAUUUCAAGGAAGUUGGGAAAAAUAUUUACCAUUGGUUGAAUUCGCCUACAACAACAGCUAUUAGUCGAGUAUAAAAAUGGCACCUUAUGAGGCCUUGUACGGGCGAAAGUGCCGAACGCCCUUAUAUUGGACAGAGUUGAAAGAGAGUCAGAUUCAAGGGGUUGAUCUGGUCAAAGAGGCUGAGGAAAAAGUUAAAGUGAUUCGGGAAUGCCUAAAAGUCGCUUCGGAUGGGCAGAAAUCCUACGCGGAUUUGAAGCAAAAGAAAAUCAAGUUUGAGGUAGGUGACAAAGUAUUCUUGGAAGUUUCCCCUUGGAGGAAAAUCCUCAGAUUUGGUAAAAAAGGUAAGUUGAGUCCUCAUUUCAUAGGACCUUAUGAAAUUACCGAGAGAGUAGGGUUUGUGGCCUACAGAUUGAAAUUGCCGCCAGAGUUAGAAAAGAUUCACGACGUGUUUCACGUGUCUAUGUUACACCGAUACAGAUCUGACCCUUCACAUGUAAUUGCGCCUACUGAAGUUGAAAUUCUUCCAGAUAUGACAUAUGGUGAAGAACUAGUCAAGAACUUAGCUCGAGAGGUCAAACAGUUAAGAAAUAAGGAUAUACCACUCGUAAAAGUUUUGUGGCAUAGACAUGGAGUCGAGGAAGCCACAUGGGAACUCUCUCUGAGAGAACAGUAUCCGAAUUUAUUCACUGGUAAGAUUUUCGAGGACGAAAAUCCCUAAAGGGGGAGAAAUGUAACAGUCCGAUUUAGGGCCUAGUCAGAACAGUGGUCUCGGGACCACAAAUCUAAAGUUAGAAAAAUUAUUUUAUUAUUUUUAUGAGGUUAUAGUAUGAUUUUAUUAGUGCAUGAAAAAUUUGGUGAGCUAAUUUUAAGGUUUUCUAGCCCAAUUUCGAAAAAGGACUAAAUCGCAUAAAAGGCAAAAGUUGCAUUUUAGUACCUAAAUGAAUUAAAUAGCUAAAGAACUUAAAUUGAGGGAUAUUAAAGGGAAAUUUCACCCUUUUUAUUAGUGUUGGCCGGCCACGUGAAUGAUUUUAAGCAAAUGGUCAAAGUAUUAGGUGGAUGAUGUCAUGAUUUGGUGAUAAAUUAAUGCCUAAAAGCCUAGCUAUCAUUUCUUUCUUCUCCAUCUCUCUUCUCCACCGAAAAUAUUAGAAAAAAAUGGAGUUUUGAAGGCUGAAAAAUUUCAAAAACUAAAAGCCCUCACAAGUAAGUGAUCUCUACACCAUUUGUUGAUGAUUUUUGCAUUUUUGAGACCCUUGAAGCAUGAGCUUUCAAAUGAUGGUGAUAUCCUACAAAAUGGUCAAGAGUUUAGGGUUUUUCCAUGGAUGUAUUUGUGAUGUUUAUUGAGUUUUUAUGGAAGAAUAUGAGUCCUAUUUGUGUCAUGAACAACUUUGGUGAAGGAGUUUUCAUGGAAAACACCUAAAGGAACUAUUUUGCAUAAGUUGUAAAAUAGUUAGUAAGCAUGUGAAAUAGUGAGAAUUUGAAGUUUCUAUAAGAGUACAAAUAAUUCAGUUAGGCCUAAGAUACAAAGAAAUUCGAUGAAAAUCAAUUUUCGAGCAUAUGGGCAAAAUGGUCAUUUUACCAAAGAUGUGACUUUAUAAUUGCCUAAUUGUAAUUAGUGACUAAUUAUAAUUCCUAUUAUAGAUUAAGAUUUACCAAAUUCGGACCUAAAUCGGGGGAAGGCCAAGCAAACCGACUAAAUCGAAUAGCCAAGUACUUUUUGUAAACCGAGGUAAGUUGUAUGUAAAUGAUACGACUACACUGUUAAUACUUGUAUUCAUAUCGCCAUUGAAUUGAUAUUGUAUGAGUUGUUAAGUUAUGAAUUGAGAAUGUCUAGUAAUAUUUGAAAUAAUAGAAAUAUCCCGUUGAAACAUUAGGAUACGAACUGGAUAUUCGUGCCAAGGUAUUGGGUGAUUUAUGCGCCAGUGUAAGACGUGUCUGGGACAUGCCACAUUAUGAUAGCUAGUGUAAGACCAUGUCUGGGACAUGGCAUCGGCAUCUAGACGAGGGCUAGUGUAAGACAUGUUUGGGAAUGCAUCAGCCAUACUAUGAUAGCUAGUGUAAGACCAUGUCUGGGACAUGGCAUCGGCACAGAGAUGAGUGCCAGUGUAAGACAUGUCUGGGACAUGCAUCGGGCUCGACAAAGAUAGCCAAUGUAAGACGUGUUUGGGACAGGCAUCAGCUAAGAGUUGUGCUAGUGUAAGACAUGUCUAGGACAUGCAUCAGCACGCGUAUAUGAGAGCCAGUGUAAGACCAUGUCUGGGACAUGGCAUCGGCAAUAUAUCCCAUGUUGAAGGCUCAUAAAAUAUCCAGUAGCAUUCCAAACAUUUCAAUGAUGAGAGUUAUAGAUUAAUUUUGAUAAAGAAAGAAUAAUCAUGUUGUGAGUGGUACAGGUACCUAUAUGGUAAGCAUGAGUAACGAGCUUAAUUUAGAGAAUGUGACUCGAGUAGAUGAUAAUGAGUAAGUUAAAUUAUGUUUACCUUUGAGCUAUAAGUAUAAUGACUAAUGGUGAGAUUGU